GGGCACUUAGCUCAGUUGGUAGAGCGUUGCGUUUACAUCGCAAAGGUCGGGGGAUCAUAACCCUCAGUGCCCA
rnacentral:tRNA from 1 species